rnacentral:rRNA from 1 species
UACGUAGGGUGCAAGCGUUGUCCGGAUUUAUUGGGCGUAAAGAGCGUGUAGGCGGCCAGACAGGUCAGCUGUGAAAACUCGAGGCUCAACCUCGAGACGCCGAUGGAAACCAUCUGACUAGAGUCCGGAAGAGGAGAGUGGAAUUCCUGGUGUAGCGGUGAAAUGCGCAGAUAUCAGGAAGAACACCCGUGGCUAAGGCGGCUCUCUAGUAAGGUACUGACGCUGAGACGCGAAAGCGUGGGGAGCGAACAGG